CCUACGGGUGGCAGCAGUGGGGAACAUUGCGCAAUGGGCGAAAGCCUGACGCAGCGACGCCGCGUGAGGGAUGAAGGUCUUCGGAUCGUAAACCUCUGUCAGCAGGGAAGAACGGUCAAUGUGCUAAUCAGCAGUGAAUUGACGGUACCUGCAAAGGAAGCACCGGCUAACUCCGUGCCAGCAGCCGCGGUAAUACGGAGGGUGCGAGCGUUAAUGGGAAUUGCUGGGCGUAAGGCGCUCGUAGGCGGUAUGUCAAGUCAAGGGUGAAAUCCCCGCGCUCAACGUGGGAACUGCAUUGGAAACUGGCAAACUGGAGUGUGUGAGAGGAUAGUGGAAUUCCAGGUGUAGGGGUGAAAUCCGUAGAUAUCUGGAGGAACAUCAGUGGCGAAGGCGACUAUCUGGAACAUAACUGACGCUGAGGAGCGAAAGCGUGGGGAGCAAACAGGAUUAGAUACCCUAGUAGUC
rnacentral:rRNA from 1 species